rnacentral:rRNA from 1 species
CUAGAGAUAGGAAAUUCCCUUCGGGGCUUUUCUACAAAGGUGCUGCAUGGCUGUCGUCAGCUUUGUGCCGUGAGGUGUCGGGUUAAGUCCCAUAACGAGCGCAACCUUAUCGUUAGUUGCCAUCUGGUAAAGCAGGGGACUCUAGCGAAACUGCCACCGUAAGGUGAGAGGAAGGUGGGAUGAUGUCAAAUCAGCACGGCCCUUAUGUCCAGGGCUACACACGUGUUACAAUGGUCGGUACAGAGGGCAGCUACCUGGUGACAAGAUGCUAAUCUCGAAAACCGGCCUCAGUUCGGAUCGAAGUCUGCAACUCGACUUCGUGAAGCUGGAUUCGCUAGUAAUCGCGCAUCAGCCAUGGCGCGGUGAAUACGUUCCCGGGCCUU